rnacentral:rRNA from 1 species
GCUGCCCUUCCUACGGGAGGCAGCAGUGGGGAAUUUUGGACAAUGGGCGAAAGCCUGAUCCAGCCAUGCCGCGUGAGUGAAGAAGGCCUUCGGGUUGUAAAGCUCUUUUAGUCGGAAAGAAAGAGUCGCAAUGAAUAAUUGUGAUUUAUGACGGUACCGACAGAAAAAGCACCGGCUAACUACGUGCCAGCAGCCGCGGUAAUAAGG